rnacentral:tRNA from 2 species
GCGAUGGUGGUGUAGUUGGUUUAUCACGUCAGUCUAACAAAUUAAUGCAAGAAAUUGCCGCAGAUUGCAGCAAGAAGCAGCUCUUGUUAGGUCACUGAAGGUCCUGGGUUCAAGUCCCGGCCGUCGUA